UUGACGCUGAGGCACGAAAGCGUGGGGAUCAAACAGGAUUAGAUACCCUGGUAGUCCACGCAGUAAACGAUGAUGGCUAACCGCUGGGUAAUACUAUUCAGUGGCCAAGCGAAAGCGAUAAGCCAUCCACCUGGGGAGUACGACCGCAAGGUUGAAACUCAAAGGAAUUGACGGGGGCCCGCACAAGCGGAGGAACAUGUGGUUUAAUUCGAUGAUACGCGAGGAACCUUACCCGGGCUCGAACGGCUGGCGAAGAGAUCCAGAGAUGGUGACGUCCUUCGGGACGCCAGUCGAGGUGCUGCAUGGUUGUCGUCAGCUCGUGCCGUGAGGUGUCGGCUCAAGUGCCAUAACGAGCGCAACCCUUGCCGUCAGUUACCAUCAAGUAGUGUUGGGGACUCUGGCGGGACUGCCACCGCAAGGUGUGAGGAAGGGGGGGAUGACGUCAAAUCAGCACGGCCCUUACGUCCGGGGCGACACACGUGUUACAAUGGCGGCCACAGAGGGGCACUACCUGGUGACAGGAUGGGAAUCUCGAAAAGCCGUCUCAGUCCGGAUCGGAGUCUGCAACCCGACUCCGUGAAGCUGGAUUCGCUAGUAAUCG
rnacentral:rRNA from 1 species